rnacentral:rRNA from 2 species
UAAGAGGUCCCGCCUGCCCUGUGACUAUAUGUUUAACGGCCGCGGUAUCUUAACCGUGCGAAGGUAGCGCAAUCACUUGUCUUUUAAAUGGAGACCUGUAUGAAUGGCAUAACGAGGGCUUAACUGUCUCCUUUCUCAAGUCAAUGAAAUUGAUCUCCCCGUGCAGAAGCGGGGAUUAACACAUAAGACGAGAAGACCCUAUGGAGCUUUAGACAUAAGAUAGAUUACCUUAAUCAACCCAGAACAAAGGGCGGAACCAGAGGUAAACCUUUCCAACGUCUUUGGUUGGGGCGACCGUGGGGUAAAACAAAACCCCCAUGUGGAAUAGGAGCACCUCUCCUUCAACCUAGAGCUCCCGCUCUAAGGAACAGAAUUUCUGACCAAUUAAUGAUCCGGCAAUGCCGAUCAACGGACCGAGUUACCCUAGGGAUAACAGCGCAAUCCCCUUUUAGAGCCCAUAUCGACAAGGGGGUUUACGACCUCGAUGUUGGAUCAGGACAUCCUAAUGGUGCAGCCGCUAUUAAGGGUUCGUUUGUUCAACG